rnacentral:rRNA from 1 species
CAGCCGCCGCGGUAAUACGUAGGGUGCAAGCGUUAAUCGGAAUUACUGGGCGUAAAGCGUGCGCAGGCGGUUAUAUAAGACAGAUGUGAAAUCCCCGGGCUCAACCUGGGAACUGCAUUUGUGACUGUAUAGCUAGAGUACGGCAGAGGGGGAUGGAAUUCCGCGUGUAGCAGUGAAAUGCGUAGAUAUGCGGAGGAACACCGAUGGCGAAGGCAAUCCCCUGGGCCUGUACUGACGCUUAUGCACGAAAGCGUGGGGAGCAAACAGGAUUAGAUACCCCGGUAGUCCCUGUCUCUUAUAC